rnacentral:rRNA from 1 species
AUUGAACGCUGGCGGCAUGCCUUACACAUGCAAGUCGAACGGCAGCACGGGAGCAAUCCUGGUGGCGAGUGGCGAACGGGUGAGUAAUAUAUCGGAACGUGCCCAGUCGUGGGGGAUAACGCAGCGAAAGCUGUGCUAAUACCGCAUACGAUCUAUGGAUGAAAGCGGGGGACCGCAAGGCCUCGCGCGAUUGGAGCGGCCGAUAUCAGAUUAGCUAGUUGGUGGGGUAAAGGCCAACCAAGGCGACGAUCUGUAGCUGGUCUGAGAGGACGACCAGCCACACUAGAACUGAGACACGGUCCAGACUCCUACGGGAGGCAGAAGUGGGGAAUUUUGGACAAUGGGCGCAAGCCUGAUCCAGCAAUGCCGCGUGCAGGAUGAAGGCCUUCGGGUUGUAAACUGCUUUUGUACGGAACGAAACGGUGAGCUUUAAGACAGUUUGCUAAUGACGGUACCGUAAGAAUAAGCACCGGCUAACUACGUGCCAGCCGCCGCAGUAAGAC